rnacentral:miRNA from 1 species
GCUGAACUGGGCUGAGCUGGGC